GGGCUGUCUCAAUUGGCUGCUUGUGGUACGGAAGAUGCGGAAUCGAUUGCGUUCUGCCCCGAGGUCUGUUAGAACAGGGAAAACCCCUGGUCUAAGAUCACACCUUUUAUCAAGCUCCAAAAUGGGACCACAAUGGAAAAUACUUCGCAAAACACUGUUGUAAAGAUGGGAGAGAAGGGCUGAGUGGAACAGCUGAUGAAGAUGCCGGUGGCGAAAGACAAAAGGAGUGGUGAAGGAGUGCUAAAGGAGAAGGAGAUGUAAAUAAGAUGUAAAUAAUGACUACGAAAAGGAGAAAAUAAGUCUGUUUUGCUAAGUGCAAAGUGAACGAGACACAGCUGAGGAUAGGAUUGGGGUUUGAGCUGUAAUCAAAAUGCAAGGCAGAAGUCACGCUCUGAAGCUGUUAACGUCAAUGAUGAGUUCUCGAGUCUGUUCUAUACUUCAGGGGAAAAUGAAAGCUUAUGUUGAGCUUCUUUGGAACACUGCAAUAGGCACAGAAUGGAAAUGUUAGCACGGGAGCAAUUCGGUUUAUUGAAAUGAUAAGCAAUUGGAAGUUCAGGGUUUGCUUUCUAAUUGCCAGCCACUUCCCAUGCCAAGAUUUCCACAACACUUUUGAGGACUGUUUUGAAACAUGCCCUAUUCAGGCCUAAGAUAGCAAGAACUGCUGAUGCUGGAGUCAGAGUUAACAGUAUGGAGCUGAAGGAACACAGAGAGGCAGGUAGCAUCAAAGGAGCAGGAAAGUUGACAUUUCGCAUUGGGACCCUUCUUCAGAAACAGGAGGAGAAAGGGAGCUCAGAAACAAAUAUAGAGAGGAGGGGUGGGAUGAUGAUAGGUGGGUGCAGACAGGGAGCGGUGGGGAUUGGUCAAUGAGGUGGAUGGGGCAGAUGUGGGAGAGAAGAUUGACAGGUUGCGUCAGGUCAAGGAGGUAGGGAUGCAAGGGAGGGUGAGAUGGGGGUUGCGGGGGAAGGGUCGAGAGAUUAUAAAACUGGUGAAAUCCAUGCUUAGGCCAUUGGGUUGUAGGCUCCCAAGGUGGAAAUAUGAGGUGCUCCUCCUCCAGUUUGCGGGUGGUGCCAUUGUGACACUGGAGGAGACCCACAAUGAACAUGUCACCCAGGGAGAAUUAAAAUGGUUUGCAAUCGGAAGUUGUUGCUGUUUGUUGCUCCACCCUAUCUUCUGCAAAUUACCACCAACAUUACCACCAGUUCUGAGGAAGGGUGACUCAAUCCGAAAAGUUAACUCUGAUUUCUAUCUACAGAUGCUGCCAGACCUGCUGAGUUUUUCCAGCAAUUUCUGUUUUUGUUACAGAAACAGGCCAGUCCACUUGUCUGUGCCAAACAGUCAUCCCAAACUGACCUAGUCCCAUUUGCCAGCAUUUGGCCCAUGUCCCUCUAAACGCCUUCUAUUCAUAUAUACAUCCAGAUGCCUUUUAAAACUUCUAAUUGUACUGGUUUCCAUCACUUCAUCUGGUGGCUCAUUCCGUGCACACACCACCCUCUGUGAAAAAGCUAUUCCUCCGGUCCUUUUUAAAUCUUUCCCCUCUCACUUCACACACCACUUGAGAAUUCUCAAACAAAAGCAGAAGAAAUUUCUGGAAAAAUUUACCAGGUCUAGCAGCAUCUGUGGAGAAAAAACAGAAUCAACAUUUUGGGUCCAGUGACUUUUGAAGGAAAGAAAGCAGGUCGACAGACAAAUGAAAGCUGAGGUCCAACAAAAAAAUCUAUAACCUAAAGAACCUAAAGGCAGGUAGAAAGUGCAUGGAAAAUCAAGUAUGGAUUCCUCAGCCCACUCAUGGCCCAAGCAUCCAAGGACUGAACCAGCUGAGGGUUAAGAAUGAAAUGGUGCACAUCAAAGGCAAAAAGGCAGUCAGAGCUCAUUGGAAGCACCACUGCAACGAUCUUCUCAAAUGCGCUCAGUCCUUGACAAUGAGAGCAUUUGACCAAAUCACCCAGCAUGCCAUCCGCUACUAUCUCACCACAACACCAAUUAAGAACCAACAAGGCCACUGAUAAAAAUGGAACUCCUGCUGAAAUAUAACAAAGUAGCUCUGUGGACAAUAAAUAUCAGGAUCAUCUCCCCAUCAGGAGGUAGUACAGCAAUCCACUGGAUCUCUGAGCUUGUUUCUUUAAUACAUUCACAGGAUUAAGAUAUUGCUGUUUUGGCCUGCAUUCAUUAACUGUCCAGAGUGUAGUUAACAGUCAACCACUUUGCUGUGGGUCUAGAGUUACGUGUGGGCCAAACCAGGUAAUGAUAGCAGUUUCCUUCUCUGAAAGAAAGUAGCAAAACAGAUGGGUUCUUCCAACCAUGAGCAUAGAUUCAUGAUCAUCAUUAGAUUCUUAAUUCCAGAUGUUUAUUAGAUUCAAAUUCUGCCACCUGCCAUGGCCAGAUUUGCACCCAGGUCCCCAGAACGUUGCCUGAGUCUCUGAAUUAGCAGUCCAGUAAUAAUAUCACUAUUGCCACCUUUUUGCUGGAACUGUGACCAUUGCCAAGAGAGAAGAUGAGCCUAGUUAUUGAUAACUAUAGAGGGGAAGGUCAUUUCAAAUAUCCCAAUCAUUUGCCUCCUCUUAAUGAACGAAGUACUGUGACUGAAGUCACAGUGCGAAUUCCAUCCAUUGUGAGAUGCAUUGGACAUGAUCUUCACAGCAAGACAAGUCCAAAGGAAAUGCAAAGACCAGUGAUCACUAUGAAUGGUCUAUUCUGACCUCACAAAAGUCUUUGAUUUUGUCAGUCAUGUGGGAUUAUGGAGCAUCCUCCUCAAAUUUGGCAGCCCCUAGAAAUUCACCACUAUCCUUUGCCUACUGCAUGAUUUUAUUCAAGCUAUGACCCACCACCAACAGAUCCACUACCAACCAAGUAUGUGUGAAAACUGGGGCUAAUCAAGACUGCAUCAUCACACCAGUGCUCUUCUCCAUCUUCCUCACCAGAAUUCUCCACUACAUAUUCACGAAGAACCCAAUUAGGACAGAGGAUAGUUGUGGAGGGGUGUUUUACUGACUGGAGGCCUAUGGCCAGUGGUGUUCUACAAGGAUCAGUGUUGGGACUUCUGUUGUUUGUAAUUUAUAUAUACACACAUAAAUGACUUGGACGAUAAUGUUGAUGGUCUGGUUAAUGAAUUUGCAGAUGACACAAAAAUUGAUAGAGUUGUGGAUAGUGAGAAAGGAUACCAAAGGAUGCAGCAGGAUAUAGAUCAGCUGGAAGUGGUGGAGUUUAAUCCGGACAAGUGUGAGGUGAUACAUUUUGGGAGGUCAAGUGCAGGAGGAAAGUAUACUUCAAAUGGCCUGAAGUAUAUUAGCAGCAUACACUCCUAAUGUAUAUUAGGAGUAUUGAUAUGCAGAGGGAUCUUGGGGUCCAAGUCCAUAGCUCCCUGAAACUGGCAACCCCAGUAAACAGCAUGUUUGCCUUCAUUGGUUGGGGCAUCAAGUACAAAAUUGGCAAGUCAUGUUACAACGGUAAAAGACUUUGGUCAAACCAUAUUUGGAGGACUGUGCAGAGUUCUGGUUGCCACUUUAUAGUAAGGAAGUGGAAAGGGUGCCAAAGAAUUUUCCAGAAUGCCACCUGGGCUGGAAUUUAUUAGCUGUAAUGGGAAGUUAGACAAACUUGGAUUUUUUUUUGCCAGAGUAUCAGAGGUUGAGGGGUGACUGAUAGAAGCAUAUAAAAUUAAGAGGGACAUG